rnacentral:rRNA from 1 species
UGAAUACGAGACGCUAAGGCGUCGAAGUAGUGUAUGUCAUACUUCCAAGAAAAGCUUGCACUGUCAUAAGUAAAAAAUGCCUGUACCAUAACCGACACAGGUGGGUAGGUAGAGUAUACUAAGGGGCGCGAGAUAACUCUCUCUAUGGAACUCGGCAAAAUAACUCCGUAACUUCGGGAGAAGGAGUACCUUAUUCUAUAAGGUUGCAAUAACAAGAUCCAAGCAACUGUUUAUCAAAAACACAGGUCUCCGCUAAGUCGUAAGACGAUGUAUGGGGGCUGACGCCUGCCCAGUGCCAGAAGGUUAAAGAAGUCGGUUAGCAUUAGCGAAGCUGGUAACUGAAGCCCUGGUGAACGGCGGCCGUAACAAUAACGGUCCUAAGGUAGCGAAAUUCCUUGUCGGGUAAGUUCCGACCCGCACGAAAGGCGUAAUGAUUUGGAUACUGUCUCGGAGAGGGGCUCGGUGAAAUAGACUUGUCUGUGAAGAUGCGGACUACCUGCACCAGGACAGAAAGACCCUAUGAAGCUUUACUGUAACUUGAAAUUGAAAUUGGACUUUAUUCGCGCAGUAUAGGUGGGAGGUGUUGAUUAUAAUCUUGCGGGAUUAUUGGAGCCAUCAGUGAGAUACCACUCUUGUAAUGUUAGAUUUCUAACUUUGAAUCAUUAUCUGGUCAAAGGACAGUUUCAGGCGGGCAGUUUGACUGGGGCGGUCGCCUCCCAAACGGUAACGGAGGCGUACAAAGGUUUCCUCUGAACGGGUAGAAAUCGUAUCUAGAGUGUAAAGGCAUAAGGAAGCUUGACUGUGAGACCUACAAGUCGAACAGGGACGAAAGUCGGUCUUAGUGAUCUGACGGUACUGAGUGGAAAGGCCGUCACUCAACGGAUAAAAGUUACUCUAGGAUAACAGGCUGAUCUCCCCCAAGAGUUCACAUCGACGGGGAGGUUUGGCACCUCGAUGUCGGCUCAUCGCAUCCUGGGGCGGUAGUACGUCCCAAGGGUUGGGCUGUUCGCCCAUGAAAGCGGUACGCGAGCUGGGUUCAGAACGUCGUGAGACAGUUCGGUCCAUAUCCGGUGUAGGCGUUAGAAUAUUGAGAGGAGCCUUCUUUAGUACGAGAGGACCGAGAAGGACAUACCUCUGGUGUACCAGUUAUCGUGCCAACGGUAAACGCUGGGUAGCUAUGUAUGGAGUGGAUAACCGCUGAAAGCAUCUAAGUGGGAAGCCCACCUCAAGAUGAGUAUUCCCAU